rnacentral:rRNA from 1 species
AACGUAGGGGACAAGCGUUAUCCGGAUUUACUGGGCGUAAAGCGCCCGUAGGCGGCUUUUUAAGUUGGACGUGAAAGCUCCCGGCUUAACUGGGAGAGGCCGUUCAAAACUGGAAAGCUAGAGUAAGGCAGAGGAGCGCGGAAUUCCUGGUGUAGUGGUGGAAUGCGUAGAUAUCGGGAGGAACACCAGUGGCGAAAGCGGCGCUCUGGGCCAAAACUGACGCUGAGGGGCGAAAGCGUGGGGAGCGAACGGG